rnacentral:misc_RNA from 1 species
UCCGUGUUAACCACGGCAGUCCCUCUAGAGUGCCCAACUUAAUGCUGGCAACUAAAGGCAAGGGUUGCGCUCGUUGCGGGACUUAACCCAACAUGUCACCACACGAGCUGACGACAGCCAUGCAGCACCUGUCUCUCGGUUGUAUUGCUACAAAAACUGUAUUUCUACAGCGGUCCGAGGAUGUCAAACCCAGGUAAGGUUUUGCGCGUUGCUUCGAAUUAAACCACAUGAUCCACCGCUUGUGCGGGCCCCCGUCAAUUCCUUUGAGUUUUAGUCUUGCGACCGUACUUCCCAGGCGGGGUACUUAUUGCGUUAGCUCCGGCUCUGCAGGGGUCUAUUCCCACAAAGCCUAGUACCCAUCGUUUACAGCGUGGACUAC